AGCUGGAAGCCCGGCCGUGACCAUGUAAGGAAGCCGGGACCCGCUGGGAUGGGGAUGGGGGGGCGAUGAACGGGGGAACCCGAGGUAGGGGCGUGGAAACGAGGGAGCGCCCCGGCCCACCCAAGCCCAGCCCGCCGGCCUGCGGUGGAGGCGGCCACACCCCAGCCUUGGCCUCAGCUGCAGGGAGCCCCAGGAGGCCAGUGCCAGAAAGAAGUGGCUUCUCCAGACCAAGCCCCAUAGCCGCUCCCUAGGGAGACUUACAGACACGGACUGCGGCCCCCAAGCAGACACCCCGCAAAGCCAGAGCCUGAGUCCUAGACAAGAGCCUCCCUCCCACCCAUGCCAUUCCUGGGAGACUCGUCCCAGACGGAAUUUUUGGAUUGGUAGCAGGAGAGAUGUUCUAAGGCUCAGACCUCAGGUUCAGAGACCUUCCCAUCGGAGACCCUGACAGAUUAAAUAGAGGCCCCAAGAGGCAUACAUACUAGACACAAAGAAAUCUCAAGGACGGGGACAGACACAGUGAACCCACCCACAGACUCUACACUAGGACCUUCCCUCCAAGACUUGGUCAUAGACACAGGUAAACUCGAACCCGGGCGCAAGCCCUUUGCAAAUGCGGGGCAAACACUCCCAGGCAACCAACCCCCAGCCAGCCUGCAAGACAAAGCCCUUCCUCAACACUGAGGUGGCCCAGGCCUGCUCCCAAACAGCCCUUUCCCAAGUUACUGAUGAACUCAGAGCAGAAAGCAAGACAAAGUCUCCAGCCACAAAGUAGUAAGGCUUCCCUGGACUGAGACCCUGAGAAAUGAGGUGGAAACGAGAGGCCCUAGAGGUAGUUGUGGACAGACAACAGUGCAGCAGCCACUCUCUUGGACAGAUCUGGGCACUGGACUAUGGGUCUCAACCCAGGAGCAAAUCAGAACAACCUGGGGAGCUUUUAAAAAUGCCAGAUGGGCAUGGUGGCUCACACCUAUAAUCCCAGCACUUUGGGAGGCCAAGGCGGGCAGGUCACUUGAGGUCAGGAGUUCGAGACCAGCCUGGCCAACGUGAUGAAACCUCGUCUCUACUAAAAAUACAAAAUUAGCCAUGCGUGGUGGCGGGCGCCUAUAUUCCCAGCUACUUGGGAGGCUGAGACACGAGAAUUACUUGAAGCCGGGAGGCAGAGGCUGCAAUGAGCUGAGACUGUGCCACUGAACUCCUGGGCGAUAGAGGAGACCCUGUCUCAAGAAUAAAAAAGAAAAAGAAAAAAAAUGGGCAAAUGACCUGAAUAGACAGUUCAAUACGUUAUAUAAAUAGCCAAUAAUUACAUGAAAAUAUCCUCAACAUCAUUAGUCCCCAGAGAAAUGCAAAUCAAAACUACAAUGAGAUGCCACAUCAUAUCUAUUAGGAUGACGAUAAUAAAAAAAGACAGGUAAUUAGGCCAGGAGUGGUGGCUCAUGCCUGUGAUCCCUACACUUUGGAAGGCCGAGGUGGGUGGAUCACCUGAGGUCAGGAGUUCAAGACCAGCCUGGCUAACAUGGUGAAAACAGUCUCUACUAAAAACACACAAAAACUUAGCCGGGCACAGCAGCAGGCACCUGUAGUCCCAGCUACUUGGGAGGCUGAGGCAGGAGAAUCCCUUGAACCUGGCAGGUGGAGGCUGCAGUGAGCUGAGAUUGCACCACUGCACUCCAGCCUGGGCAACAGAGAGAGACUCCAUCUCAAAUAAUAAUAAUAUUUUAAAGGCCAAGCUCGGUGGUUCAUGCCUGUAAUCCCAGCACUUUGGGAGGCCAAGGCAGGCGGAUCACCUGAGGUCGGGAGUUUGAGACCAGCCUGGUUAACUUGGCAAAACCCCGUCUCUACUAAAAAUACAAAAAUUAGCUGGGCAUGGUGGCGGACACCUGUAAUCCCAGCUACUCGGAAGGCUGAGGCAGGAGAAUCACUUGAAUUAGGGAGGCAGAGGUUGCAGUGAGCAGAGAUCGUGCCACUGGACUCCAGCCUGGGUGACAGAGGGAGACUCCGACUCAAAAAAAAAAAACUGAAAAAAAGAGGUAUUUAACAAGUUUUUGUGAGGAUGUGGAGACAUUGGAACCCUCACACAUGGCUGGUUGGAAUGUAAAAUCAUUCACUAACUUUGGAAAAUAGUCUGGCAGUUCCUCAGAUGUUUAAACAUAGAACAUAGAAUUAUAUGAUCCAGCCAUUUCCCUUCUAGAUAUGUAACCAAGAGAAAUAAAAGCCUAUUCCACAAAAAAACCUUGUACAUGAAUAUUCAUAGCAGCAUUAUUCAUAAUAGCCCCAGAGUGGAAACAACCCAAAUGUCCGUCAACUGAUGACUGAAGAAACAAAAGUGGCA